CCUACGGGCGGCAGCAGUGAGGAAUAUUGGUCAAUGGACGAGAGUCUGAACCAGCCAAGUAGCGUGAAGGAUGACUGCCCUAUGGGUUGUAAACUUCUUUUAUAAAGGAAUAAAACGAGGCACGUGUGCCUUGUUGCAUGUACUUUAUGAAUAAGGAUCGGCUAACUCCGUGCCAGCAGCCGCGGUAAUACGGAGGAUCCGAGCGUUAUCCGGAUUUAUUGGGUUUAAAGGGAGCGUAGAUGGUUUGUUAAGUCAGUUGUGAAAGUUUGCGGCGCAACCGUAAAAUUGCAAUUGAUACUGGCAGUCUUGAGUACAGUUGAGGUAGGCGGAAUUCGUGGUGUAGCGGUGAAAUGCUUAGAUAUCACGAAGAACCCCGAUUGCGAAGGCAGCUUACUAAACUGUGACUGACAUUGAUGCUCGAAAGUGUGGGUAUCAAACAGGAUUAGAUACCCUAGUAGUC
rnacentral:rRNA from 1 species